AUGCUCACCACUAUACCACCAACGCCGGCGCUUCCGGGGGCUCCGAAUUGCAUAUAUAAGGAAGAUGGAGGUCGUGGAUUUUUUUUUUUUUUUUUUUUUUUUUUCAUGAUCCUGCAGCACAUGGAGCCUUCCCUUAGCGAGGAUGGAUCCCGACCCGACUCCUCGCGGGUCAGCCAGCUACGGACGGGACCGGAGGCCGCGGGGGCGGCGCGGGCGGCCGCCCGGCGCCCCACCCGCGCCACCCCCACGCAGCCCUGGCUGCUCCGCAGGCACGACCGCCCGCCGCCUCCGCCGCCCGCCUCUGGGGAGCGCUCUCGCCGCCCUGCGGCUCCCGGGCCCUCGGCUGCCCGCCGGGGAGCCCCGCCCCUUGCCCCCUGCCCCCGGCGCGCGCUUCCCUUCCCUUCCCUUCCCUCCCGCCACCCGCGCCCCGCCCCGCCCCGCCCCGCCCCGCCCGCACAGUCGGCCCGGCCCCCACGGCCACCUCCACGGGCAGCCCGGCAGCCGGGCAGCUGUCCGUCGCGUGAGCGAGGAGCCCGUGGCGGCCAGCCUCCCGUCAGGAGGUCCCGGCUGGGCUGGGCCGAGCCCGCACGCGCCAGGGCGCCAGGGCGCCAGGGCCGACGAGGAAGGGCAGGGGGUGCGGGGGGUCGGGUCGACGGCGGGCAGGACGGGCCCCCGCGGUCGCCCCGCGCCUCUGGCCGCACGGGGCCGGGCGGAGGCACAAGGGAGGGGAAGCAGGACAAGGAGGAGAAGGAGGAGAAGGAGGAGAAGGAGGGCCCUGGGGGCCGGCGUACGUUUGGGCAGCGCGGCGGCGGCGCCCGCGACCAAAAGAGGGCGUGUCUCGCCUCCCCGUCGGGGAAUCGAACCCCGGUCUCCCGCGUGACAGGCGGGGAUACUCACCACUAUACUAACGAGGACGGCGGCGGCGGCCGCCCGGGCGCCCGACCCCUCUCCGCCCGCCAGCCCGCCGGCCUGCCUGCCCACGC
rnacentral:lncRNA from 12 species